AUGCUCACUUCGGCAGCACAUGGACUGACAUUGGGAUGAUACAGAGAAGGUUAGCGCGGCCCCUACACAAGGAUGGCACGCACAUUCGUGAAGCAUUCCGUGUUUUU